AUGGCUGGUGAUACUGCUCGCCGUUCUAGGAUCUGUGGCUUCCACGGCUGCUGUGCCGCCGCCGUCGGUUUUUACUACAACUCCAGGUACAGGAGGUGGAAGAAGGAUCUGGAGCAGCUGGCCAAGUCCAUGCAACGACUCCCGGGGAUGCCAUGUCGGAUCGACUUCUCCGACAUUAAGAAGGCCACGAAGAACUUUGACGGCACAAUGAAGUUGGGAUCAGGAACCUUUGGCUCCGUGUACAGAUGCAGGCUUCCUGCGGCACUAGAAACGGGCCGUCCAGAAAUGGAGGUGGCCGUCAAGAAGUUCACGCGAAACGACGACCGGCGCUUCGACGACUUCCUGGACGAGGUCAGCGUCAUCAACCGUCUGCGCCACAAGAACAUCGUCCCUCUCAUCGGUUGGUCUUACCAUGAUGGGGAGCCCCUCCUCAUCUUUGAGCUCAUGCCCAAUGGCAGCUUGGACCAACAUCUCUUCCAUCUAAGAACACCAAUUCUCCUAUGGGACACCCGCUAUGCCAUCGUGAGGGACAUAGCCACCGGCCUGCACUACGUUCAUCAUGAGUAUGAGCCCACAGUUCUUCAUCGUGAUAUCAAGGCGAGAAACAUCAUGCUCGAUUCCACCUUUGGUGCCCGCCUGGGUGACUUCGGCAUUGCCUGCACGGUCCCUCUUGACCGUAACUCCGUCACCGGCCUCGCCGGGACACAUGGCUACAUAGCGCCGGAGUACGCCUGUAGCUACAGAGCUACGAGAGAGACUGACAUCUAUGCGUUCGGUGUCGUCGUCCUCGAGAUCGUGACCGGCAGACGGGCGCUCGACAGGGAUGUCCCGUCUGAAGGUCACAUCACAGACUGGAUAUGGCGUUUCCAUUGGGAGGAAAAGUUGCUCGAUGCCAUGGAUCCCGUGCUUGCCAUGGCGGGGUUCGAUGAUGAUGACGCCAAACGCCUAAUGCUGCUUGGCUUGGCGUGCACCAACCCAAACCCGUCGAACCGGCCAAGCAUGGUGGAAGUGGUGCAGGUUAUCACCAAGUUAAAGCUACCGCCGGCCGUGCCUCCUAAGAAACCAACGUUUGUGUGGCCUCCACAAGGAUGGAGUUCAUUGAGCUCUUACUUUAGCACAGAGACAAGUACAAUUUAUGCAAGUGGCUCAUCAACCAAGGCCAGACAGGUGUAG
rnacentral:rRNA from 1 species